AAUGAACGCUGGCGGCAGGCCUAACACAUGCAAGUCGAACGGAUCCUUCGGGAUUAGUGGCGGACGGGUGAGUAACGCGUGGGAACAUACCCUUUGGUACGGAAUAGCCUCGGGAAACUGGGAGUAAUACCGUAUGUGGUCGAGAGACGAAAGAUUUAUCGCCAAAGGAUUGGCCCGCGUUGGAUUAGGUAGUUGGUGGGGUAAUGGCCUACCAAGCCGACGAUCCAUAGCUGGUUUGAGAGGAUGAUCAGCCACACUGGGACUGAGACACGUCCCAGACUCCUACGGGAGGCAGCAGUGGUGAAUCUUAGACAAUGGGGGAAACCCUGUUCUAGCCAUGCCGCGUGUUCGAUGAAGGCCUUAGGGUUGUAAAGAUCUUUCAGGUGGGAAGAUAAUGACUGUACCACCAGAAGAAGCCCCGGCUAACUCCGUGCCAGCCGCCGCCGUAA
rnacentral:rRNA from 1 species